rnacentral:rRNA from 1 species
AGUUAAUUUUUAUUUUAUUUUUAUAAUUAAAAUAAUUUUUUAUUAAAAUAUUUUUAGUAAUUUGUUUAAAGAAAUAAUAAUUUAAAUUAUAGUAUAUUAGUAUUGUAAAAGAAGAUUGAAAUAUAUGAAAAAUUUUUAUUUUAAAAGAAAAUUUUAUUUAUUGUACCUUGUGUAUCAGGGUUUAUUAAAUAAAAAAUAUUUAUUUUAUUUUUCUCGAAUUUAAGAGAUUUAAUUAAUUAUGUUUUAUAUUGUAGCAUAACUAUAAAAAAUAAUUAAUUAGAAAUGAAAUGUUAUUCGUUCUUAAAUAUAUCUAGUUUUUUAAGAAAUAAAUUUAAUUUAUAUAAUAAAAAUAGUUAUUGAUUUAUUAAUUAAUCAAUAAUUUUUUAUUAUAAGUAUUUUAAGGGAUAAGCUUUAAAAUAAAAUUUUAUAAAUGUUUUUAUAUUAAAAAAUUUAUAGGCUUAGAAAUAGUCAUUAAUAAUAAAUAUGUUUUAAUUUAUUUUUUGUUAAUAAUAUUUAUUUAACUUUUAAUUAUUUAUUAAAAUAUUAAAUUUAAUAUUAAAUUUUAAUUAAUAAUGAUAAAAUUAGUAUAGUUAUUUUAUAAAAAUAUGAAUGUAUUGAAAGGUUUAUUUAAUUAAUUCGGCAAAUUUUAAUUUUCGCCUGUUUAUCAAAAACAUGUCUUUUUGUAUAUAUUUAAAGUCUGACCUGCCCACUGAAUAUUAAAGGGCCGCGGUAUAUUGACCGUGCAAAGGUAGCAUAAUCAUUAGUUUUUUAAUUGAAAGCUUGUAUGAAUGGUUGGACGAAAAAUUAGCUGUUUCAUAUAAAAUUAUAUUAAAAUUUUAUUUUUUUGUUAAAAAGCAAAAAUAAAUUUAAUAGACGAGAAGACCCUAUAGAGCUUUAUAAUUUUAUUAUAUAAUUUAUAAAUAUUAAUUAAAAUUUUAUUUGAAAAAUUAUUUUGUUGGGGUGACAAUAAAAUUAACUUAACUUUUAUUAUUUUAUUACAUUUAUUUAUGAUUAUUUGAUCCAUUAUUAAUGAUUAAAAAAUUAAGUUACCUUAGGGAUAACAGCGUAAUUUUUUUAGAGAGUUCUUAUCGAUAAAAGGGAUUGCGACCUCGAUGUUGGAUUAAGAGUUAUUUUUAGGUGUAGAAGUUUAAAGUUUAGGUCUGUUCGACCUUUUAAUUCUUACAUGAUCUGAGUUCAAACCGGUGUAAGCCAGGUUGGUUUCUAUCUUUAAAUAAUUAAAAUAUUUUAGUACGAAAGGACCAAAUAUUUAAAAUAUAAAUUUUUAUUAAUUAGAAAAUUAUUAA